rnacentral:rRNA from 1 species
CCUACGGGGUGCAGCAGUGAGGAAUAUUGGUCAAUGGGCGCGAGCCUGAACCAGCCAAGUAGCGUGAAGGAUGACUGCCCUACGGGUUGUAAACUUCUUUUAUAAAGGAAUAAAGUGAGGCACGUGUGCCUUUUUGUAUGUACUUUAUGAAUAAGGAUCGGCUAACUACGUGCCAGCAGCCGCGGUAAUACGGAGGAUCCGAGCGUUAUCCGGAAUUAUUGGGUUUAAAGGGAGCGUAGAUGGGUUGUAAAGUCAGUUGUGAAAGUUUGCGGCUCAAACGUAAAAUUGCAAUUGAUACUGGCAGCCUUGAGUACAGUUGAGGUAGGCGGAAUUCGAGGUGUAGCGGUGAAAUGCUUAGAUAUAACGAAGAACUCCGAUUGCGAAGGCAGCUUACUAAACUGCCACUGACAUUGAUGCUCGAAAGUGUGGGUAUCAAACAGGAUUAGAUACCCGGGUAGUC